rnacentral:rRNA from 1 species
AGACCCGAAACCCGGUGAUCUAGCCAUGGGCAGGUUGAAGGUUGGGUAACACUAACUGGAGGACCGAACCGACUAAUGUUGAAAAAUUAGCGGAUGACCUGUGGCUGGGGGUGAAAGGCCAAUCAAACCGGGAGAUAGCUGGUUCUCCCCGAAAGCUAUUUAGGUAGCGCCUCGUGAAUUCAUCUCCGGGGGUAGAGCACUGUUUCGGCUAGGGGGCCAUCCCGGCUUACCAACCCGAUGCAAACUGCGAAUACCGGAGAAUGUUAUCACGGGAGACACACGGCGGGUGCUAACGUCCGUCGUGAAGAGGGAAACAACCCAGACCGCCAGCUAAGGUCCCAAAGUCAUGGUUAAGUGGGAAACGAUGUGGGAAGGCCCAGACAGCCAGGAUGUUGGCUUAGAAGCAGCCAUCAUUUAAAGAAAGCGUAAUAGCUCACUGGUCGAGUCGGCCUGCGCGGAAGAUGUAACGGGGCUAAACCAUGCACCGAAGCUGCGGCAGCGAACGUAUCACCCAAGACAACUUUACGGAGUUGACGAUUGACGGAGCGAAGCGACGUCAAAGCGUUCAUUAAAGUCGAGUUGGCUUAGGGAUACGUUCGUUGGGUAGGGGAGCGUUCUGUAAGCCUGCGAAGGUGGCCUGUGAGGGUUGCUGGAGGUAUCA